rnacentral:lncRNA from 12 species
CUCUCCCACAGCUUGGGUGAUGCCUGGGUGCUGACUCUGCACCUGCCCGGGAAGCUGAAGGGCUCUGCGCUGGACCUGACUAUCAUCCUCCCAGACCCCUGAUGAGCGACUCCGUGCUGGAGCGUCCCAAGAGCGGAUGCCCUGGUACCCCAACAGGCCGCUGCAAGAGGAGGACGAGCUCGCCUUAACCACCCCCCCCCCCCCCGCCCGGUGCGCACCAAGGCCUGGUUCCUGCCUGAGGUGUUGCCGUCUGGGGGCUUGUGCCUGGGGGCUGAGUGCGGGGCAGAGCGAGGAUGCGAACCUGUGUGCUGUGAUGGGAGAAGAGAAGCCCUUGCCCCAGAUGGUAAAGGCCUACCUGGUGAUGGUGCCUCGGCCGCCGCUUCAGGUCCCAACUGCCGGGCAGGGGAUGAAGUUGAGAUCUGAUCCGAGGCAGUUGCGUCGGUUUGAGACAUUGGAGACACAGAGAGGAGCCGUCCCUGCCCUGCAAGGGCUGGCAUGA